rnacentral:rRNA from 1 species
UACGUAGGGACCAAGCGUUGUUCGGAUUUACUGGGCGUAAAGGGCGCGUAGGCGGCGUGUUAAGUCAGCUGUGAAAUCUCCGAGCUUAACUCGGAACGGUCAGCUGAUACUGAUGUGCUAGAGUGCAGAAGGGGCAAUCGGAAUUCUUGGUGUAGCGGUGAAAUGCGUAGAUAUCAAGAGGAACACCUGAGGUGAAGACGGGUUGCUGGGCUGACACUGACGCUGAUGCGCGAAAGCCAGGGGAGCAAACGGG